GUUGGAUUGUUGGAGUGUUUUUAGGUGUUUUCAUUCUUUUGUUUUCAAUGUCUAAAUUUGUUUAUCUUUGCUUUGUGAGUAUGAGAAACUAAACCCCCCUUAGCUAGGGGGGAAUUCGAAACCAUGUUCAUGCUUGCAAUAUGAUUUGAUUACCUUCAGUUGUGAUUUCAUAAGUUGUGAAUUCAAUUUGUUUAACUGCUUGAUUGAUAACUUAUUCGUGUAUGUUUAUUAAGAGUGCACUCUUAGUUUGCAUGCAUGAAUAUGAUGCUAGAGUAUAAAGGAGUUUCACCUAAUAGUUACAAAAUUAUAUUCACAAGUAGUGGAGGUCGCUUAUAAACGAUCGCGUUAAAUAAAUUCUUGGCAGGAGUUUCAUGCUCAUCAUAGUAACGAAUGCCUCAUCAAUACUUAUAGUUUUCAUAAUGCUUAAUGAUCUUUGAUUGUAUCUUUAUUGUGUUGUUCACGUAAAGAACUUUUGAAGAAUGCUUGAAUUGUUGUAUGCGUUUUCCCAUCCAAUUCAAUAACUUAAGGAGAACUUGAAGGUUAAUUUAAGCGGACUUAAUUAACCUGGGGUGUUGAGUUUCAUGAUUGAUCGAAAGAACAACUGAAAAUUGGUUUAUGUGCAAGUAUGUCAUGUGUGGAGAAGAACCUCCUAGCUAGCCUUCCAUCCAUUCAAUUUACUCAAAUUCGUGCAGAUUUCAUUACUUCUUUAAUUUACUUGUUUUGUUUUCAAAUUCGUCAAAACCAAAACCCCCCCUUUACUUUAAAGUGUUUUAUUAGUCAAAAUUUGUUUUGAUUUGUGUUUUUAGGUGUCCCAAAAGUGUGUUAGAGUCCAAAUCUGCCUAGUUUGUGCUUUUAGGCAGAUUUGAGCGUUUUUAGCUUGUUUUGAGUCCUUUGAGUUUGUUUUAAGUUCUUUGAGUCUAGUUUAGUGUUUUUAACUUUGUUUAUAUGUUUUUAAGUCAGUUUAGAGGAGAGGUUUUAGCAAGCCCUCCUAAUCCCCGGUUUAGAACGAUCCUUACUUGCAUUUAUACUACAAUUUGACAACAAGAGGGUUUAAUUUGUGUGUUAAGUUAAUUUUCGCAUCAGUGGCCAGGAACCUUCUCACUCUCAAAGAUAACAGACUACUUUCCAAACGGUCUGAUGAGUUGGCUGUUAAGGAUUCUCUAGCUCUCAAUGUUCAGUGUGCAGGUUCUAUGUCUAAUAUGGCCCAACACCUAUUUGCUCGAACCCGCCAAGUUGAAUCAUUGGCGGCUGAAGUGAUAAGUCUCAAACAGAAGAUUAGAGGGCUUAAGCAUGAGAAUAAACAGUUACACAUGCUCACACAUGACUAUGCUACAAACAUGAAGAGGAAGCUCGACCAGUUGCAGGAAUCUGAUGGUCAGAUUUUACUUGAUCAUCAGAGGUUUGUGGGUUUGUUCCAAAGGCAUUUAUUGUCUUCGUCUUCUGGGGCUGUAAUGCGUAAUGAAGCUCCAAAUGAUCAACCUUCGGUGCCUCCUCCUUCUGGGUUCUGCCCAAUACUGAGGCUCUGAAUAAUCACCCUCUGGUGCCUCCUCUUUCUAGGGCUCUGCUGACUGCUGAGACUUCUCUUGAGCAACCGUUGUGAAGGCUCCCUUUUGUUUGUUUAUUUUGAUUCAUGUAUAUGUACAUAUUUGUAACUUAUUGGAGAUUUCAACGUAUUGUGUUAAAUACACCAAGGCCUUCUUCACUAAGUUCUUUGAAUUUUUUUCUUUUGUUGAAGCUUGUAUGUUGAAGCUUUGUGAGUGAAUCAUGUAUGUUGAGGUAGUGCUCCCUUAAUUUCUCGAGUGAGGAAAACUUCUCGGUUGGAGACUUGAAAAAUCCAAGUCACUGAGUGGUCGUGAGACUUCCGAGUAUCAAGGUGCAGUAGCAUAUGGUCGGAGUCCCCCAAGUCUCCGGUCGAGGGAGUUGACGAAUAAGGCAUUUCCUUUCUAAAUGGUAGCCCAAAACUCCUCCUUCAUAUAUAUUUGUUAUGAAAGUUGUUUGGCCCCAAGAAGAGGAGGCCUAGGCAAUUUUUUUUUCUGAAUUUUUUUUUUCGAAUUUUCGAAUUUACGAAUUUUUGAAUUUUCGAAAAUAUAUAUAUAUAUAUAUAUAUACAUAUAUAUAUUUUUUUAAGCUUUGUAGGUGAAGCUUUGGUGUUGAAGCUUUGUAGGUGAAGCUUUGAGGUUGAAGCUUUGUUGGGUACCAUAAAUUGAUUUUGCUUCACACUAUCUUGAUCAAGAUACUGUGAAGCUGUUGUAGGCGAAGCUUUUCUGUUGAAGCUUUGUAGGUGAAGCUUUUGUAGGUGAAGCUUUUGUGGUGGGUGAAGCUUUUGUGGGUGAAGUUUUUGUUUGUGAAACUUUUGUGGGUGAAGCUUUUGUAGUGGGUGAAGCUUUUGUGGGUGAAGCUUUUGUGGUGGGUGAAGCUUUUGUUGGUGAAGCUUUUAUAGGUGAAGCUUUUGUAGGUGAAGCUAUUGUGGGUGAAGCUUUUGUGGGUGAAACUUUUGUGUUGAAGCUUUUGGAUUUGAAGCUUGUUAGGUUGAAGCUUUGUAGUUGAAGCUUUUGUAGGUGAAGCUUUGGAGUUGAAGCUUUGUAGGUGAAGCUUUGGAGUUGAAGCUUUUGUUGGGUACCAUGAAUUGAUUUUGCUUCACACUAUCUUGAUCAAGAUAGUGUGAAGCUUUUGAGAAUUUGUAGUUGCCCUCCAUUGAUGAAGCUUUUGUUGGUGAAGCUUUGUUGGGUACCAUGAAUUGAUUUUGCUUCACACUAUCUUGAUCAAGAUAGUGUGAAACUUUUGAGAAUUUGUAGUUGUCCUCCAUUGAUGAAGCUUUGUUGAAUUUCCCAAUUUCCUUUUGUAUUUUUUAUUUUUUAUUUUUUUGGGAAAACUAGAAAUUUGUUGAAUUUCCCAUUUUCCUUUUUUUUUGUUUUUGUUUUUUUUUUUUUUUUUUGGAAACUAGAAAUUUGAAAAUGUGAGAGAGACAACACAUACAAAUUUUGCUCCACACUGUUAAGCAAGAUAUUAUGAUGUAAGCCACACCUUGUAGUAGUCGAAAGUUUGGAUGAACCAUAUAAAUUGAAUUUGCUUUGAACAGUCUUGAUCAAGAGUGUGUGAAGCUUUCUACGAGUUAUAGUUGCCUUUCAUUGAUGAAGCUUUUGUUGGCACCAUAAAUUGGUUUUGCUUCACACUGUCUUGAUCAAGAGUGUGUGAAGCUUUUGAGAAUUGUGGUUGCCCUCCAUUGAUGAAGCUCUUGUUGGCACCAUAAAUUGGUUUUGCUUCACACUGUCUUGAUCAAGAGUGUAUGAAGCUUUUGAGAAUUGCGGUUGCCCUCCAUUGAUGAAGCUCUUGUUGGCACCAUAAAUUGGUUUUACUUCACACUGUCUUAAUCAAGAGUGUGUGAAGCUUUUGAAAAUUGUGGUUGAACUCCUUUGAUGAAGCUCUUGUUGGCACCAUAAAUUGGUUUUGCUUCACACUGUCUUGAUCAAGAGUGUGUGAAGCUUUUGAGAAUUGUGGUUGCCCUCCAUUGAUAAAGCUCUUGUUGGCACCAUUAAUUGGUUUUUCUUCACACUGUCUUGAUCAAGAGUGUGUGAAGCUUUUGAGAAUUGUGGUUGAACUCCUUUGAUGAAGCUCUUGUUGGCACCAUAAAUUGGUUUUGCUUUACACUGUCUUGUUCAAGAGUGUGUGAAGCUUUUGAGAAUUGUGGUUGAACUCCUUUGAUGAAGCUCUUGUUGGCACCAUAAAUUGGUUUUGCUUCACACUGUCUUGAUCAAGAGUGUGUGAAGCUUUUUACGAGUUGUAGUGUUUGCAUUGUUAUAGAUGAGAAAUGUCUGAAGCAGAUGCAGGAAGGCUGAAUAGCUUGAUCUUCGUAUGCUAUGCACUGAAGUUAUUGUUGGCUUGUCAUAAGACUUUGUUGGUGACUAUAACUCUUGUUAGGCAUAAGUGUUCCUCUAGUUGAGUUGUUAAGCUUGAGGAUUUUUGAUUAUUUGUGAAUGCUAGGAGUUUACAUGUACAGGUUGUACCACUCGUCUUCUGGUAGGUGGAAUGAAUGGUGAGUUGCUUUCAUCACUUGGUUAGUGGUACGAAGGUGAGUUCCUUCAUCACCUUUCAUCACAUUUCAUCACCUGGUUGGUGGCAUGAAGAUGAGUUCCUUCUUCACCUGGUUAGUGGCAUGAAUGGCAAGUUGCCAAAUGAUAUUAAAGUACGGGUUGUACAUUGCAUCACCUGGUUGGUGGCAUGAAUGGCAAGUUGCCAAAUGAUAUUAGAGUACGGGUUGUACAUUUCAUCACCUGGUUGGUGGCAUGAAGAUGAGUUCCUUCUUCACCUGGUUGGUGGCAUGAGUGGCAAGUUGCCAAAUGAUAUUAGAGUACGGGUUGUACAUUUCAUCACCUAGUUGAUGGCAUGAAGGAGAGUACAGGUUGUACAUUUCAUCACCUGGUUGGUGGCAUGAAGAUGAGUUCCUUCUUCACAUUUCAUCACCUGAUUUGUGAGAAUAUGGGCAAGGUGUCGUGGCACAUUGUAGCAAGUGUCGAAUUACACAAAGUAUGUUGAACCCUUUUGAAGCACAGUUGGCUUAUGUAUGAAUGUGUUGGAAUGUAUGAUUGAACGAAUAUACUGUGAAGCUGUUUGUUUAUUUGUAUAGUCUUGUUGACAUAUACUUAGACUUUGUUUCAUGUUGGAAGCAUUCAUGUUGAAGCUUUGAACCCGAGUGUUUCAUUGCUAGGAAUGUAAGAGGAUUAGGACCGAGUUGUCUUAAUCACCUUUUUAUUGAAUUCAUGCCAAAUAGUUUUCGUUACAUAAGAUGCCGAACGGCUGAAGCUUAACACUUGUACAAUGUGAGUUUACUUGUAAUAGUACUUCAAGUGAUUAGUGUUCCAUGGAUGGCUAAGGGUUUGCCAUCGGAGCUUCUAAGCUUGUAGGAGCCAGGGCGACUGAUGCCAACAACCUCAAAUGGUCCAUCCCAGUUUGGAUUAAGUGUUCCUUGACUCGGGACUCUGUCGUAGAGUAAUCUUUUCUUCAAUACCCAGUCCCCCACUUGGAAAGAACGAGGUUUGACCCUUGAGUCAUAGUAGUUGGAGAUGCGCUGCUUGUAGGUGACAUUCCUCAAGUGAGCUUGGUUUUUGUGUUCCUCGACUAGAUCUAAGUUGAGGGUAAGUUAUUUGUCAUUUUCGCUUUGCACGUAGUUCUGGACUUGGAGCAUUGCUUGCUCAAGCUCAACGGGGACAACUGCCUCUGUACCAAAGGCUAGUGAGAAUGGGGUUUCUCCUGUUGAUGUCCGAUACGAAGUGCGGUAUGACCAAAGAACUUGGGGUACAAAUUCUGGCCAACAACCUUUAGCCUGUCCAAGCUGGUUUUCAAAGUUCGUUUGAUUAUUUUGUUGAUGGCUUCGACUUGUCCAUUAGACUGGGGAUGAGCUGGGGAGGCAAAAUAUAAGUUGAUAUUAAACUUAGAGUAGAACAUCCUGAAUUUAUUGUUGUUGAACUGUCACCCGUUGUCAGUGACUAUCGCAUUGGGAAUUCCGAAUCUACAAAGGAUGUUCUUCCAUACAAAGUUUUCUAUUUUUGCCUUAGUAAUGGUUGCCAAGGGUUCUACUUCAGCCCACUUUGUGAAGUAGUCAACUGCAACGAUUGCAUAGCGGACUUUACCUUUCCCUGCAGGCAUUGGGCCUAUCAAAUCAAGUCCCCAUUAGGCGAAGGGCCAAGGGCUGAUCAUAUGAGUGAGCGGCUCGGGAGGGGAGUGAGGAAUAGUUGCGUAGCGUUGACAGUUAUCACAUGAGCAAGAUAUUCUGAUGGCAUCUUGGUGGAGUGUUGGCUAGUAAUAUCCUUGGUGAAAAGCCUUGUGUGCUAGAGAUCGAGAUCCAAGAUGAUCUCCGUAGACUCCUUUAUGUAUUUCCCUAAGGACAAUUUCCACCUCUGCGGGCGUAAGGCAUCUUAGGUAUGGUAGGUUAAAACCCCACUUGUAGAGUUGGUCAUUAAUGAUCAAGUAACAGGUAGCCUUGUAUCGAAUCUUCUUAGCUUGGACCUUGUCAUUAGGAAGGGUGCUAUGAGCAAGGAAUCUAUAAAUCGGGUUAAUCCAACUAUCCCCCUAUUGUAAGUUGCACACUUCCGUAGCCAUAGUGCUUGGUGUUGCCAACAAUUUGACCUGAAUUUUUCUCCCAAUCUUGUCUUCCACCGCUGAGGCGAGGCGAGCCAAAGCAUUUGCAUGACUGUUUGUCGCUCGAGGAAUUUGGGUGAUCUGGUAGUGGAAGUGCUUGAGCAACAAUUGUGUUUGUGCCAGAUAUGUUACCAUGGAGCUAUCCUUAGCGUCAAAGUUGUUGGUGACCUGGUUAACCACCAAUUAAGAAUCACUGAAGAUAUCAAUUCGUUUAACCCCAAGGUGUUUGGCCAAACGUAAGCCUGCUAGGAGGGCUUCAUAUUCGGCCUCAUUGUUCGACGCCUUGAAUUUGAAACGAAGAGCAUACUCUAUCGCCACUUUGUCAGGGGUCGUAAGGACUAAUCCUGCUCCACAACCCUAUUGGUUGGACGAGCCAUCAACAUAUAGACUCCAUGCUAGGGCUGUUGGUUCUACUUUCUGAGCUUCCGAGGGUAAUGAAACCACUUCUUUAGGCGUAGAAACAAUGUCAACAGGAUAUGUGAAGUCAACGAUGAAGUCUGCCACUGCUUGGCCCUUCUCAGCUGGCUUUAGUUGGUAGGAGAUGUCAAACUCACCCAAUGCUAUCGCCCAUUUUAUCAUUCACCCCGAAGUGUCAGGACUUUGGAGUAUCUGUCGAAAAUGAUGAUUGGUAAGCACGAUGAUGGAGUGUGCUUGGAAGUAAGGGCGAAGUUUUUGACCAGACAUGACCAAUGCUAGAGCCAAUUUCUCAAUGUUGGAGUAUUGUGUCUCUGCAUCUUGUAAGGCCUUGUUAGCGUAGUAGACAGGCCGUUCGACAUUACCAUCAUUUUGAAUGAGAACGAAACUUACUGCUGAAGCUGAUAUCGACAGAUAGAUAAUGAAAGUGUCACCAACCUCAAGUUUGGAGAGCAAAGGGGCUUUACUCAUGUAGUCUUUGAGGUUCGUGAAUGCCUCAGCAGAUUUAUCAGUCCACGUAAUGUACUUCUUACUUCCUUUAAGUGCUUUGAAGAAAAGAGCACAUCUGUCUGUGGCCUUAGAGAUGAACCUAGUUAAGGCGGCCACCUUGCCAGUAAGGCUCUAGAUGUCUUUGAAGUUACCAGUUCCUUCAUGUCGAGGAUUGCUUUGAUCUUCUCGGGAUUAGCCUUAAUGCCUCAUUGGCUUAUCAUGAAGCCUAAGAAUUUGCCAGAGCCUACGUUGAAGGCACAUUUGUUGGGAUUCAACCUCAUUCGAUACCUCUUUAGAAUGGUGAAAGUUUCAGAUAGGUUAGCGAUAUGUUGGUCAUCAUGUUUGCUCUUGACUAGCAUAUCAUCAACGUAAACUUCCAUGCUCUUCCCAAUCUGUUCGGCGAACAUUGAAUUGACUAGUCUCUGAUAAGUCACUCCUGCAUUCGUUAGGCCGAAGGGCAUGACUUUAUAGCAAUAUAGUCCCCUGUUCAUAGUGAAAGCUGUGUGUUCUUGGUCCGGAGGGUUCAUGAGGAUUUAGUUGUAUCCUGAGUAAGCAUCCAUAAAGCUUAGGAGUUCACACCCUUUCGUAGAGUUUAUAAGUCUGUCAAUGAGAGGAAGAGGAAAGCUAUCCUUCGGGCAUCCUUUGUUUAAGUCGGUGUAGUCGACACACAUUCUCCACAAGACCUUUUGGAGCACGAGACUUUCUUUAGUCGGAUUUUUCUUAACAAUGACCACAUUUGCUACCCAUGCUAGGUAAUUGACUUCACGGACGAAGCCUAUGCCUUUGAGUUUUCCAACUUCUGCUUUCAUUGCUUCGUAUCGUUCAACGUCAUAAGAUCUACGCUUUGUCUCACCGGCUUGGUCCUGGGGUCAAUACUCAAGCGAUGACAUAUGAUAUCGGGAGAGAUGCCUGGCAUGUCCUCAUAUGACCAGGCAAAGACCUCAGUGUUCUCUUGCAAAAAAGAGAUCAAUGCCAACCGAAUGAGUGGUGACAAGGUGGUGCCAAUCUUCACCAUGCGAUCUGGAUAAUCUUUUGAUAUAGAAACCUUCUCUAGCUCUUUAGCGGGUUGUGUUUGCUGGGUGAAAGAGUCAUCUCGAGGAUCAUCGGGUUAACUGUUGCCACCAGGAUGAUCCAAGUUGGCUUCGUCCAGGCUGGUCUUUAUGACUUGGUCAUGUAUAGAAAAGGUUUCCUUGGGCACAUGCAAGUGUUGUUGCUUGACCGAAAUGUUGUAACAUGACCGUGCACUAAGUUGAUCUCCUCUGAUGUAACCUUUGUCAUAGGAGGUUGGAAAUUUCAUCAACAACAUAUGUGUAGAUACCAUGGCUUUAAGAUCAUUGAUGCCUGUGCGUCUGCCGUUGGGCAAUCAAUUACCAGGAAGUUAGUGGUAAUGGUAGCUGUGUAAGGGCCUGUACCAAUGGUGAAAGGUAAGUGUAUGCUCCCUAUAGGUUGCACGAUAUCACCGGAGAAGCUUAUUAGAGGAGAAAUUAAGCGAUCGAGCAAGUGUUCAGCUACAUUAAGUGCCCUGAAAGCUUUAGCAAACAUGAUAUUGACUGAAGCCCCCGUGUCUACCAGGAUUCGUCUUACUUCAAAGAUGGCUAUGUGAGCCUCCACGAUCAGUGGGUCGUUAUGAGGGUAGAUGAUACCUCUUUCUUCCUCAGGGUAGAAACAUAUUGGAUCCCAGUUAGGCUUUUGAUACUUGCCUCCCAUGAUGUCUUCCACGUGAAAUACUUGAUGGCCAGGCUUUAAAGCUCGUUCGCUGUUUUUCAUGGCCUUAUUAGAAGAUUCAAAUAUGGGUGUACCGCCGCUUAUGGAAUAUAUCACAUUCACUUGGUGUUGGUUAUGGUUAUCCCUUGAAGGGUGAAGAAGGAAUCAAUCAAUUUUUCCUUCACAAGCCAAAGCUUUAAUAUGAUCACGAAGGGUGAUACACUUCUCGCCGUCAUAGUCGUUAUGUUCGUGGUGGCAACAAGACGUGCCCGUGUUCUUUGUGGGCUUGUAACCUGACUGCCUCGACAUUGGCUUCGGUAUCAGGUGUGCUAUGCUGGGGUAAAUGGCCAUGCAUGUGGCGUUCAAAGGCGUGUAUGUCUCAUACCUCAGGGUAGGGCCUGUCCUGACAUGUGUUUGGCCCACUGUGUUGACUGGCUAGGGGCGGGCAUUAUCAUGGCGAUACCUUUGGUUAUCGCGAUAGUGUCCCUUACUUCUUUUAUUAAAAUGAGACCGGUGAGGAUGGAAAUCUUUCCUUUUGCCUUGAGAUUGAUAUGUCUGUUGACUUGACAAAGUAUUAAGGCAUGAGGAGGCACCGCUGCCGUUUGGAAAGUCGAGGUCUUCUCAUUUGGUUGGAUUUGGCUUCCACUCCUUACUUGCUGAUAAGGGGUGGUUGUGGGGGGUUUCCCUUGAUAUGUCAUUGCCUCAGCGGAGGCAUAGUUGUAAGCAUGUGCCAUCACCUUAGAGUAAGUCUUCCAAGUGUUGGCAUUGUUCAUGUACUUGAAGAAACAAUCAUGUAGGCCUGCCGUGAAGGCUUUGAGGGUAGUUUUGUCGUCUGCCUUGGCACAAUGGGAAUGCUCAUGGCUGAAGCGGCCAGCAUACAUACGUAAUGACUCGUCUGGCUUCUGGCGAAUAUUGUACAAGUCAUCCGCAGAGUGCAAGUGAUCGGUCUGGAAAAUGUGUUGAGAAACAAACAGUUUCCUCAAUUCCUCAAAUGAGUCUACCGUUUUAGGUGGAAGACGACAAUACCAGUUUAGAGCUCCGCCAGAUAGGGUGGAGGGGAAAAGAAGACAUCGCUCUUUGUCGGUGUGCAUCCGGUAUGCCAUUGUGGACUCAAAGAGGUUAAGGUGUUUAAUCGGGUCAUCCUUUCCAGUAUAGAGUUACAAGCCAAGCUUCUGCUUUAUCUUUGCUUGGAGGGGGUGUCGAGGAUCCUCAUUGUAAGAAAGCCAAGCCUAGGUUAGUUCCAAUCAGGUAUCUCAGCUUGUCAUUCGGCCUUCAACUUGUUUACUUCCUUAAGAAGCUGUAAGACAAGAGGGUUUUGAGUGGAGUCAUGUACCACUGGAGCUUUCUUUCGUAAAUCUCCAUCUCCUCGUGGAAGUAGGAAGGUUUGAUUAAGAGCAUGUGAUUUUUCCCUGGACUCGCCGUACUGACUUCCAAGGUAUGUUUGUCGGAACAUCUUUGAGUCCCCUAUACGUUCGUGUUUCUCUAGGACUUGUUGCCCCUUCCCUAAAUUGGUAGCCAGUUUGGGACAUGGGAGGGGACCGAGUUUUUCAGAGACCCUUGGGUCAUUGAUCUUCGAGCUUACAUGGAUGGAAUUGUUUCGACGUUGCUUUAGGAAGUCUCCACAGUCGCGAAAGACGACUUUCAACCCUUCCACUCCUUCUGUAAGGAGGUGUCUUCCUCCACUCCUCCUGCUUCUGGUCGAAGCAGCUGGGUUGAGAGAAGUCUCAUGUUGGUCACCAUUUCGAUGAGUAGCUCUCUCCUCAACAGGAAUACCCAUGUUAAGGGCAAAUGACCAUCCGUGUUGGGGGGCACCCAGUUGAUGGUUGACUUCCACAGGGGUGAUGAGCUCGUGUGUUUUAGUAUAUCUAGCCUCGUGGAGCAUCUUGAAGACCUUUUCAUACUGCUCUUGGAGGAUGUCAUUCUUCAUCGCUAUCUUGUUGUUCUGAGCCUCCAGCUCAUCGACUUUAACCUGAAGAGCAAACUUCUUUUGUUCCUUCUUUCGUUGCUUUGCACCAGGUGCAAGAGGGGUGUGAUUCUGUGUGUUGUGGCUUCCUUCGCUCCCUAUGUUGGAAAGGGAUGCCUGGUCAAAAGAGAGUGUACGAAUGGUGGAAACCAGCUUAACAAAGCUGAAGAUAGUGGGAAUAAGUGUCAUUCGCACAGACGGCGCCAAAUGUUAAUGCACAAAAUCAGCGAGGACUUUGGUACAACAGAAAGUGUUAAGUUUGUGACCUUCGCUAGAUUGCUUCGGUCACUAGUGUUGAUAAGUAUGUAAAUGGAUAUGGACAGGGAAGCAAACAAAAGAUGUACGUGGUUCACCUAGAUUGGCUACGUCCACGGAGUAGAGGAGUUCUCAUUAAUUGUGAAGGGUUUACACAAGUACAUAAGUUCAAGCUCUCCUUUAGUGAGUACUAGUGAAUUAUUUAGUACAAAUGACAUUAGGAAAUAUUGUGGGAGAAUGAUCUCAUUUUAUAUAAGAGUUUAUGGCUUUGUUCUGACAUUGACACGUGUCGUGUUAUGAUUGGCUUCUGAUGUUGACACGUGUUGCGCUGUGAUUGGUUUCUGAUGUCGACACGUGUUGCACUGUGAUUGGCUUCCUGGUUGGAGGGAAACUCUUCUGGGUCCUUGACGGUAUAACGUUGACCAGUUCUCAGUAGUUUCGGGAUUGGUCAAGUAUGGUACAAACAGAAUCCAUUCCAGCAUACCUAUCAAAAACUAUUUCACUCAAUAAAAAAUAUUAGGUAACCCAAAUGUUGUUCAAAUGCAUAUAUAAGUUUAUAACUUACAAAAAAAACAUUAUAACAAGAAAAAAAAGUGUUGAUACAUUUCCUACAAUACACUUAAAGGUGGGAUAUUAACACUUAUUUAAGUUAUUAAAUCACUUAACCUAUAUAUAUUUGUCACUACACUUGGAAAUAUAGGUGGUGAUCUAACGUAUAGCAUGAUUGACCUGCAAAGGACAUAAAUGGAUUCACAAAAGUUAUUUGCUGCCCAGGCUAUUUGGAUAUUUGGACCAUUUUUUUCCAUAUUAAUGGACCUAACUGUACACGAAGAGACCAUUCCUAAAAAAACAGUGAAACCCAAAAUACUCAAUUCCUCAUAUGAGCUAGUAAAAGUGUUGUGAUGCUGCAUCUGACUGAUGCUGCAUCAGUGAUUCUGCAUCUACUGAUGCUGCAUCAGUGAUUCUGCAUCUACUGAUGCUGCAUAUGACUGAUGUUAUAUCUACUGAUGUUGCAUCUACUGAUCCUGCGUAUGGAGUCUACUACCAAGGUGACCCCUAAGAUAAAUCUCUAGGGUAAGGCUCAUUGUAAUAUUUAGGGUAAGGGUAUGUAAAUCACCUUUCCCUUGAUUUAAGGGAGGAAACUGAUUGGGGUAAUGUCUUAAGUAGGCAACACGCCUUCUUCUUUCUAGUCGGCUACUUGCUGCAGCCAUCAUUCCCAUCUCUUUUCCCUCUCUCUUCUCAUAUAUACCCGAACUCACUCUUGUACAAACAUACAUGAAAUAUACAUUGAAACUUUAAACCAGAAAAUCUACAAAAAGGGUUAGAAGUCAAGCAACCAAGUACCAACCUAUAAUUGAAAAUUAAUAUAAAAAAUGAAUUAACCAAACAUUCAGAAAGAUCCAAAUGUAGAAGCCUAAAAACACAAAAAAGACAAAAAAUAUUGAAUUGUAUUACAAACUAUGGAUUAGAUAGUGAUCCCAAAAACCAAAUAUAACCAAUAAGCACAAGUUCCAUCAUUAGUAAAAACCGAUCGAUUCAUUGAUUUUCAUAUGAGUGAUACAAGUAUUGGUAUACAUAAGCAACAUGAGGAGAUAAGCCUCCGGGACUCGUAGGAUUACAAUGCAAAGCAACUAAAAGAUAAACAUUACAAUUGAGAGCAUUAAUAUCCUAAUAUCCAAUAAAUAGUAGCUUAUGUUUUUAAUUUUUAAAACUACUCAAGUAUCGAGCACUCACUGCUCUGGAUUCAAAGAGAACCUCACACAAUAAAAUCGCUUCUCCAUAAAACAUCGAUGAUAGCUCUUGGAAUUGACUGCAGAGUAUAAAGUGGCAGCUUAAACAAUUAUGUAUGGUUCAAUUUCAAAGCAUCUACGAAGCCUAAAAUUACUAAACAUUAUUUUCUUAUUAACUUGUAUAAGCAACAAGCCAGAAAGAUUUCACCUUUAAACAACAAGAAAAACAGAAGCAUCCCAGAAAAAUAAUUUCAUCCUCCAAAUUCACAGCAAAAAGAAAAAUACUGAAAAAUAAAAAGCAAAUAGAAAACUGAUUAAAAAAAUCCUCCAUAUGUAAUAAUAAAUCAAGUUAAAGAAUCCUCAAUCACAUAAUAAUAAGGCCAGGCACAAAUACAUAUAGAUUUAGAAAAAUCAACCCAAAUUGGAGGUUGCGGAGUGCGAAUGUACAGGUGGAGGGGCUACUGGAGAAAAGUACCUGUAAAUUCAAAACCAAUUUUAUAUAAAAAUUAAAAUAAAAAUUUGAAAAAAAAAAACUACAACAUUAGAACAUUGGAAGAAAAACGGCGGUCUCGUGUGUCUGGGAGAGGAAGAUUUAGGUGUCAAUUUGAGUUUUGGCGGAAUGGAUCUCCUGGGUUCUUGAAUUUUCGGUGGUGGACAACAAGCGACAUGGAGAUGAGGCCAUGGACCGCGACAAAGAGAUGGAGAGAGGGGUUUGUUGUCUAGGUAAAUAAAUAUGGGUAUCCUGUUGGGUCAUGGUGGUUUGAAAGAAACGAGCAAUCUUAAAGGCAGAGAGAAAGAAGGGGGAAAGUGAAGUGGAAUGGUCUAGAAUUUCACUUGUUUGAUAUUUCAUUAUGGCGCUAUAAUUUCCCACACAUUUUUUGUUAGGUGCAGAGUGGGAAAGUUUAGGCGCGAAGCUAGAAACUAUUAUUUACGACAUAUCAUUCGUGCCAUAAAAGGUAGGGACCCAAAUAUAUAAAAAAAUUCACUUUACGACAUAACGUAAUGCCUUAAAAGAGAAGGAAAGUGAGUCAUGUAAAUUGUCAAAUACGACACACAACGGUUACGCUGUAAAUAUUUUUAUUUAAUGACUUGCACAAAAGUGAUGUCGUGAAUGCUAGAUUAUGUGCAAGUAUUACGACAUGAACUAUAUGAAUGUCGUGAAUAAUAUCAUUUAAGGCAUGCCAGUACUGUAUGCCGCAUAUUUCAAGUCAUAAAAGACCUAAAUUGUUCUAGUGGUGGGCCCUAUUUUUAAUUUUGCCCAAGACCUCCAAAAUGUUUAGACCUGCCCUGAUUGGUGCGUGCGGCGGCGCACUAUGGUAAACAUGAGCUUUUCGAACGCCCGAAAUAGUAGUUCAGGACUCAUUCAUCAGUAAUCUUCGUAGUUUUCAAUUUAUUUACUAAGUAUGGGUUAUUCACUUUAGGGUUGGUAUCGCAAAGAUUACAAAGAACGUGCAGGGCAAGACAGUAACAAUCAUACAGUGUUUGAGUGGGUUUUGCUUUUUAAACUAUACUAUACUUAUAUGUUUUCAAAAUUGGUUUUAUGAUAUGCUUUGAUUUCAUGAUUCCUAAUUUAGGAGCUUAGAAUCUAGACUGACUUGUGACAAUCACUUUUUUCUCACGGGAAAAACACGAGUGUUUUAAGACUCCAGGAAAGCAGAUGAUGCCUGAAUGUCAGUAGUGAAAGCUAAGAGACAAGAAUCAUUCCAGUUGUUUUAACCAUUUCCUAUUUCAGUUUGGAAGUGGGGGAUGUCACCAUGAACUUCAUGUACAAGUUACUUCGCCCAAGUGACCCAAACCAUGUGGCAAGGUUUCUUCUAUCUUUUUCUCUAUCAAUAAAACCCUACAUUUGGAAAAAAAAAACUUUCUUUUCUCUACGAGUGUGAGAGCUUUUCUCUCUUCUUGAGAGUCUUUCCUACCUUUGUGUGAGUAGCUUCAAACUAUUCAAUUUCGUUGCCACCGUGGCGAGGGUCGGUGGAUGCUCUGGCCGCUUUCUUUCUCCUUCCUUCUUUCGUUCCUUUUGCUUCCUCUCUCCCCAUCAUUCCUUCCCCUUUUUAUCUAGUCUGGUUUUCCUUAUGAGUGACCAUCUUCUUCAACCUUUUUCGAUCCGGUCUGUAGUCAGCUUUCAAGGCAUUUUGUUGCGCUCUUCCAAGAAGGUGUGUAGAGUUCCAGUUACGCUAGCUCGGGUGUUUACAACACCACCUCCUUUUCUGUCUGCCUUUGUUGGCAGUGCUGUCCAUGGUAUUUCCAUGGGCUUCUUUCAUUUUUUGGCUGAGACCGGUGCAACGAUAGUGGCUGGGAGACAGGGUAUCCCUUUGUUUCAUCUCUACGAUGUUGCUUGGUGGGAGUUGUGGCGUCGAUUUGGGUAAUUGGGUUUGGAUGAUCGGGAAUCACUGUUACGGUAGUGGAAGCAAACUGGAAUGUUCCAGAGUUCUGUUUAAGUUUUUAGGCUUUGGGUUGGGCUUUUGUAAGUUAGUUCGGAUGGCCCCUUUUUUGUAUUGUUAAUAUUUGUUUGUGGGCUUGUGUCUUGUACUUAUCUUUUUUAAUAAUACUUCUUCCUUUCUUCAGAAAGGAUUUGUCCAAAGAAAAAAGUUACUUCGCCCAAGUGAAGGUUGCAUCUGCUUUGGGUGAUCAUAUCGACCGACUCAAAUAUACUCAUAAUUGUUUGGCAGAAUUCUUAAUUAGAGAAAUUGUCGACUACAUGGAGUCCCACCACUAUUAUUCCAGCCGAAAACUUACUCAUUUUUAAAUCAUUUUGUUCCCUUCAAAUUCAUAUUUAUGGCGCCAAAUUUCAGGCGAUGCAGCUCAAAGUUAUCCAAACAAGCCAAAGGUUUAAAAAACUUCUGUGAUAUUCAAUUUUUAAACUUGUGAUUACCAACUCUUUAAUUACUUUCCUUGAUUAAACGGUGCUUCUUUCUUUUAACUUUACGUCUAAGUAAUCACAAUCAUGUCUUACGUCGAAAAGUUUUAUAAUUAAUAAAAAUAUGUUCUCCAAAUUCAAAAUAAAAAUAGAGCAACAGUUUACUUAUACUAUUUUUUAUACCACAUAUUUCAAUACUACAUAGUGAGACAAGUGAUGUGUAAUGGUAAUGUUAUUAGUUGAUGAUUUUGUUUUAUUAAAUAUGCUUUGAAUGCAUCACAUAACGGAUCAUGUGGCACAAUUUGAACACAGAAAAGAGUUAACCAGCUGCACAUUUAUAAUAAAUGAAUGGUGGUGAUUUCUCCCGUGUAAUCUGAUGGCCGGUAAAAAAACGAAUUAUUAAUUUUCCUUGAGAACGAGCAGAUAUUAUUUAAUGUUACAGCUUAGGUGGUUGUCAAAAGCAAGCUUAUUGAUUUACCAGCUCUUACUGUAUCUGACAUAUAAUAAAAUAUCUCCAAGCGGUUGGUUUGGUAAUAAGAGCUUCAGCUGGGUUUGUAUUACGUUCGGCCUAUAGAGUCCUAUUUUUCCCUUUUCUGACCUCUUGUAUUUGAAUUGAAUUUCCUCUAUAGCUAGCAGCUGCAAGUAUGGCUUGGACCGUGACAUUUAAAUUAGUAGGUAAACUUCUAACUGUGAAAUUUCAUCAAAAAUGCAAAACCCUAAGAACAUGCUUAGAGAUUUUUUUGGGAAAUUUACAAUAAGUAAACCCUAAUAGUUUCACCUACCAUGACCUGGCGAGAUAGCUACGUAUUAAAUUAUUUAUUUCACUAUAAGUAAGGAGGCCAAGUUAUGGCCAACUUACCGAUUCCACAAUCACUCGUCCCAUACAAGUGCAAUACAACGUCCUUAAAAAAAGAAGCCAAUCCAUAAAAUUACAAGUAAAAUCCGUAGAAUUAGAAGCUGAGGGGAACGUCCUUCAUAACAUGGGUCUUUUGAAGAUUUGGGUCACCCUUCUUAUGACUCCUUGUGCAAAUUUUUGGGGGAGGAAAUGGAAUCUGCUUGACAUUGUCACAGCUGGUAUGUUUCUGAGUGCGCAUGUCCUUUGUUUGUUUGCACCGUUUUACUUCACUUGGACAGCAUUUUGGUUGAUGCUUGUUCUGAGUUACGUCACUGGUUUCGGAGUCACUCUUUCUUACCAUAGAAACCUUGCUCAUCGGAGCUUUAGGCUCCCAAAACUGCUCGAGUACUUGUUUGCCUAUUGUGGGGUUCUCUCAGUUCAGGUACGUAUGUCAAAACAUCUCAUAGCAAUAUCAACAUUUUUCAACUUUGUUAUUUUUCUCUUCUUUCUUCUUUCCAUAUUUGUUAUAGGGACUAUGUUUACUAGGAUCUGCAUUAGGUUAAUGAGAAAAGCUGCGUUUGAUGUGUUUUCAUUUGCAGGGUAGCCCGAUUGAGUGGGUGAGCACACACCGGUACCAUCACCAAUUUACCGAUACAGAGAAAGACCCUCACAGCCCACUUAAGGGAUUUUGGCAUAGUCACAUGGGUUGGAUUCUAGACAGCCGUUCUCGAUUUGGAAGAGUAAGCCACACACUUUCUCUCUCAGACUUUGAACUGAUAAUUUCCUCACUUUUUGUUUAAUUGAAUUUUCUUUUUUGGUACAAAUACUUGCUAAUAUUUGUUAUGUUAAAUUUUCAGUACGGAGGUCUUCGGAAUGUUGAAGACAUGAAGAAGCAGCCAUUCUAUGUGUUUCUUCAUCACACUUUCCUUCUACAUUCAUUUCUUCUUGGAUGUAUACUAUACUACAUCGGUGGAUUUCCCUUCGUGGUUUGGCCAAUGGUGAGAGAGCUAGAUUUCUAAAUUUCCCUUUUUUUCAUCUUUGAGCAUAUAUGUAUAUAGCUACAGAGCUAGCCCUCAUAAGUUUGAAUAAUAAGUUCCUUAUGAUUUCAGGGCGUGAGGAUGGUGAUUGUUUUCCAUAGCACUUUGUUUGUAAAUUCGGCUGGCCACAUUUGGGGAUAUCAGCCAUGGAACACCGGCGAUCUCUCUAAAAACCUUUGGUAUAUAUCAUAUUCAUAGUUGAGAUAUAAAAAUUUAUUUUGAAAAUUUGAUAUUUUAUACAAAGACGUACAAGUAUUUAUUUAUGUAAAAUCUUGAACUUCUUUAGGUGGUUGGGGUUGCUCGCACUUGGAGAAGGAUGGCACAAUAACCACCAUGCUUUUGAAUACUCAGCUCGACAAGGCCUCGAAUGGUGGCAGAUUGACGUGACUUGGUACAUCAUAAAAUUUCUUGAGGCUCUAGGGUUGGCAACAGAUGUGAAAACACCAUCCGAGGUUCAUAAGCAACGUAUGAAGGCUAAAUCCAUGGCUGCUCAAGAAUAGGUGGAGACCUUAUUUGAUGGCUAGCUUAAAUUUGUAUUUGCUUUUUUAAUUUAUAAUAAGAUGUUAUUAUUGUUCAUGCAUGGUCAUGGUGCCGACCUAGCUUCUUGUUGAAAAUGGUUUGCUCUACUUUUAACCAAGCCAUUUAUCACAAAUUUGAGGGUUAUCUUUCAUGAAUCUUGUUUUAGAGGAUGAAUCUCGGAUAUGUAAUAAAUUGGUUUGAAUUAAAAGCAACUAUGAAACAAGAGGAUUUAUAUUUCAUGUCCAUGUUAGUUGGAUGUGGUCAUGCAUAAUAACUGUGAGUCUUUUUCUAUCAUAACUUUGUUCCUACAUUUUCUUUAAAAGUAAUGUUCAGCCUUUCUUUAUCCCACUCAACAUUUUGGUAUAAAUGGUUGUUGGAGCAUUAAAUACGUAAGAGUUAAUCAGUUCAUAGUCCACAAAAAAGUUGCGACUUGCACAUGGCGUUUUAAGGUAGUAACAAAAGGCAAUCAUAUUUAUACAUUUUUGUGUGAGUUUGAUCUCUACCCAUUCUUUCCCUUAACUACUAACUUUCUAACUUAUCACUCUACUCAAAAUAAAAUUGUGACUAUGCAUUUUUGUAUUUAUAUUAAACAAUGUUCUAAAAAACUCUAGACACUAGUUGGGCGGCGGGCUAGCACCUAGCACUUAGGCGGCUAGGCGGAUUUAGGUAAAUUUAUUGUAUAUAUUGUAAAUAAGUGCAUAUUGACACUUAAAAAAAAAAUAUACUUGUAUGAAAUUCAUGGAUAAAAUAAUAAAAGAACGCUAAAAUGCAAAAAGAGUAUUUAACAAUGUCUCUCCAAUAGAUAGGAUUUUUAUUUUUUAAUGAAUUAGAUGGUAUAAGUCCAUAAGAUGAAAGUUCAUAUGAUAAUAAGUAUGUAUUACUUAAUAAAUAUUUUUUAAAGAUUAUUUAUUAUAUAGUGAAUGAACUUAAAAAAAUGUAAAGGUGUAAACGUUGUAGUAGUCUGUAAAAAGGAGAUGGGGAAAGCACAAAAAUGGGAUGUGGGGCACACCACACAAUGUUCAAUGUCUGUUAUAUGUCCUGACAAUUGAUUAGAAGUUAAUUAAUUUAAAAAAAAAUUAAAACAAAAGGUGGAGUGGUCAUGACUCAUGUCUGUCACGUGGGGGAGUGGGAAGAGAGAGAAACUCAUUUCAUCUUCUUCUUCCGUUCAUCUUGUUGAAACGCAGAAGACAGAACCAAAACAAGUAUGCAGCUCUCUGCAACGACAAAAAGUCUAAAACGCCCAGACCGCCUAGGUCAUCGAGUCGCAGCCUAGGCCACCCAAGCACCGCCUAAGCAACCUCCGUGCCCGCCUAAUUUUCUUGCCAAUAUUUCUCCCGAUUAUGGGCUAAUCGAAGCGGCUGGGCACCUUGUAGCGUCUAGGUGCCGCCCAGGCCGAUAUUUAGAACACUGAUAUUAAAUAAAUAUCUUAAGGUUAAAUAGGAACCAAAAAAUUCAUUUUGAAAAGGAAAACCAUUAGGGUUAUCCCAAUAAUAGCGUCCAAGUUGGAAUGGUAAUUCUGAUUGAGAUAGUAAAACUUCCAAAUUUGAACCCAAAAGUUCUGAAAUAGAACAUUUUUUUGAAAAAUUGGAAUGCAUUUAAGAAUUCCUAUAAUAUAGAAUUUCCGAUCCGAAUUUAUCUAUAGUGUUCCGACCUUAUCCCGACAAAAAAAGUCCUGACAUACUCCCGUAUAGUUCUUUACUCUAAUUAUGAAGUUUGCAAUCAACUUUUAUAUAUUUUUUUGUUGAAAUAGAUGCUUUAUGUUUUUGUACAUCUUGUUCAUUGUGUUUAUAGUAAAAAUUUACUUAUAUAGUGGCAAAGACACAUAAGCGCAAGAAGGUGCGGCCCCACUUCCGAUCAUCGAAAAUCCACAUGAAGAGCGAGGAAUUCAUCCCUCUGAACCUCCAUAGAAGGUGUUUGAAAUGCCUGAAUGAAGGCAUGUUGCUGCUCUGAGCUGCUGCGUGCGGCCCUUUUCAUUUUUAAACCCAAGCCGAAACAACGAGGGCCCAUGUUCGAACUAUUCUAUGUGCCCUUUUUUUCUUUCUUUUUUUACUUAUUUUUGUUUGAUUGUUAAUUUUUUUUAUAUACUUAAAUUUAACAAAAUUUGGUUUAUUCAACAAAGGGUUAACUAGAGGCGUUGCUGCCUUUUUUUUCUAGUAAUUAUGAAGUCCCGGUUCGAUUGUUAAUUUCUUUUACCUUUGAUUAUAUUACUAAAAUUUGGUUAAUUCAUCAAGAAGGUUAACUAGAGGCGCAUAUUUUUUAUAUCCAUUCCAAUUCAAAUUUAACUUUCAACAAAAUAAUGUAUGUAUGUCUUUACCAAUUUAGCACAGAGAUUAUUCAGAAAAUGAGAUCACUUUCACGCAGCUGUUGUUUGAUUGUUAAUUUCUUUUACCUUUGAUUAUAAUUACUAAAAUUUGGUUAAUUCAUCAAGAAGGCUAACUAGAGGCGCAUAUUUUUUAUAUCCAUUCCAAUUCAAAUUUAACUUUCAACAAAAUAAGGUAUGUAUGUCUUUACCAAUUUAAUUUGGCAAGCAUAGAGAUUAUUUAGAAAAUGAGAUCACUUUCACGCAGCUGCAAAAAUUGGAACUUUCACUUCUACCAAAUCUACAAGGCUUUUGCUUAGAAAAUUGCAUUGUUAAGUCAGACACUUUAGACAUCAAGUAUUGUUCAUUUGACUAGUAUUUUUACCAUAUGACAAUCUUCUUUUCUUUAUGACCACAUUUACAAUGUAACAUUGUUUUUCUAUAUAUGACGAACUGAUUAUCUGACAAAGAAAAAUACUUAUUCAAAUUAUUAAAAUUUCAAAUACCUAAGAAAUAAAAUCACAUGAAAAACAUAAUUUUUUUGCGUAUUGUAGGUUUGUGGGCCCUAUUUUUAUUUUUCCCUAGGUCCUCCAAAAUGUCUAGACCGACCCUGCGAGCACAUGCAUAUGUCUUCAUUAGUCAUUCAUUACGUUCAAAAAGAUUGCAAAAUUAAAUACAGACUAAUGCCAUGCAGCCUAGGCUUGUCAGCUUGUGGUGAAUGCAUUCAAAUAGGAUGAAUAUGGGACCCGAAACUAGCCAUGUUCAAGUUUGAAAUGGUCGAGAUGGUCGAGCUACACAUGCAUUUGUCGUAGUUACGUUGAUAAAGUUUGUGUUGGAACUAAAUUUGUGCACCUCUAUGAGCGGUGAUCGAGUAUAACACUACUACAAAAGUACCCAGUAGUCACUUUAAAAAGGGACAGAACAAGCCCAUUUAUGUUGGAUAUUUAGGAAAAAUAUGACAUAAACUCAUGUAAUAUCAGAUAAAAGAACCGACACCAUUACUAGCAUCACGAAAAGGCUUUUGAUGUCGGUUAGUCACCUUAAUCCGCCAAGAAAAAGGAAAGCUAUAUAAAAUUAAAAAAAAAGAUAGUAGUGUCAAAUAAAAGUAACAUUGAAACUCAUGUCGGAUACAGGUGACACCACUUAACUAUUUAAUAAAUACAUUAAACAACUAUAUUGUCGCCCAUAACCGACACUACAGACCAUUAAUAAAAAUAAAAAAAGUUUCCCUCGAUUUCUAACUGAUAAUAAUUAAAAAAAAUCUUUAAAAAGUUCACUAAUUAUACAAUUUGUAAGAAACACACACACACAUAUAUAUAUUUAUAUAAGUUCAUUAAUUAUAUUUAUAAUCUUUUACUAAUUAUAAAAUUUGUAAGAAAAAUAAAAAAAUAUACCUACAUUCGACUUGCUUUUCAUCUUCCUCAAUCAAGCGCCAAUCCUUCGUCAAAGAAAGAAUAUACAAUUUGGGAUUCCACAACUUCGAGUUCUCCGUUGAGGCAUUGCUCCUUGUUAAUAACAAAAAAACAUUUGUGAUGCAUAUUUAAAAAAACAAAACCUACAUAAAAGCUCUAAACAAAGACCAAUUUUCAAUUUAUGCAUAAUAUUUGAUAAUGACACACCCCGACCAAGAUCGAGGCAUGUUGGCCGUCACGUAAGCGUGACGUAACCAUAUGCACAGUGUAGAAGCAAUAAUGAUAUAGAGAAAUACGGGUAAAUAAAAGCCAACUACUAGCAGUACUAGUUAAGAUAAGGUGCUAGAAUGAGAUUAAGUGUGAAAUACACAACCAGAGCAUAAAUAUCCUAGAUGCAGUCAAGCAGGACAAGCACUAAUUAUACAACAUCUAAAGGUGAUCCUACAUUAAUGAUGUUUUGUCAGAACCCCGUCGAAAUCCUCGUGAUCCACUAAGCACUUCUACCUAAAACCUGGAGGGGCGCAAAACAGAAAGUGUGAGUGGGCAAAAACAAACCUUUUCAAAAUCAUUUCAUUUCUCAAAAGUUCUAACCCCUCACCGUAAAACCUGUAUAAUUUCCCAGAAAAUAAUAAUAAUAAUAAGCUGUAUCAAAAAUCAUACUCAAGAUGAAAAUCCAUAGAAGUAUACCAUGCCAAAGUAUCUCAAUGCAAUGCCAUAAGUAAUUCAGACAAAAUAUAUCAAUACCAGAUAUUGCAUCAGCCAAAUCCCUCUAACUCAAUAUGUACGACUGAGUUUAUAGCUCAUAAUCAAUCUCAAUCAUAUCAAAUCAAAUUCAUUUACUGCACACGAGUCAGAACCACCUCAAGUGCUACUAUCACAUGAAGACUAUGCGAAUAAUCGCGGGUCACUUAUGAGUCGGAACCACCUAAAGUGGUCUGUACGACAAGCCUGUGCACCUAACUUGGAUCCACGGUGAGCAUAUGGUGCGGGAGGUGAACAUUAUGUGAAGGAUUGUGCCCUAACUCUGGGCGGGAUCACUAACACUGGGGUGCAGGUUUAUUAGCUUUCAAUACAUCACAUCAUAUCUCACAAAACUGAAGCAAUCUCAUAUCUUUAAUUUAUGAACUUACCUAGCACUUACCUGUGCGUCUGCAGCACCAAUCAUAAAUAUAUGCAACUACUAAUGCAUAAAUAAAAUAGGCAGAUACUUUGCAUGACAUUUCAAAACGUAUAAUCAUUCAAAUUCAUUUUCUCGAAAAAACUCAAGUAUAUAGGUAUAUACGGAAAACCAAAAGCCCAUUCACUGAUAUGUCAAAGGGUCGUACCCCAUGAGCCUUGAUUGAUGGUGCUCGUCCUCAGGAUAGGUCUCACCUAUAUGCGAAAUAAUUGAAUAAACGUUAUUUAAAGCACAUAUACAAAACUAGGAAAUAACUUCUCAUACAUUGCUCAAAUGGGGUAUUUGAAUAUACCACCACGAUCUACUCAACCUCAUGAACAUCCCCAAAUUUAGAAAAAUUUUCUGAUCACCCACGCACCGCCACGCGCCGGCCAAGGCACGACUAGACACGCCCCUAUGCGUGGCCAACCCUAACCGAAACUUAACUGUCGUUAGGAAUAUUCCAUUAAACCUUAAUAGAAGUUAACGGCGUUACCUGACGCCGUUAGAAUAUUUUGUCAGACUUGACGAAAUAUUCCUCUUCGUCCUCCUUGGAUCGCCGGAGACCGUCGUCGGUGCCAUUACGAUCGUCGGUUUCUAGAAAAAUAUUGAAACCUUCAUAUCUUUUUCAAUUCUCAACCAAAAUUCACGAAUUUAGUACCAAAAUGAAGCUUAAGAUGAGAAGAACAUAUUCAUACAACUUUGGGGACCUAGAAUCAAUGGAAAGUCGCCUGAAAAACCUUCGAUAUUCCGGCCAAACCUGCAACUCGCUAAACUUGUGCUUCCCGACGUCCAAAUCACUUCGUUUUUCUUCUCCGACCUUCACGAAGACGUUUUAAGGCUCCCUAUAACCUUAAAAUUCCUUGAAAACUUCACAAUCACGAGUGCAUGAACAGUACUCUAAAUCGGGGUUCUAGGGUUCUCGACUUUUCGAGGGUUUCAUGUACUACAAUUGGUAUGGGUGUGUUCCUGAGUUCACAAAGAACACAAAGACUACCUUCACAGCCUUGAUCCACGACUGGAAGGGAGAGUUUGAAGUUUGUCUGUACGCUUGUACGGAAAAUGGAAGAAAACCGAGAGAGAGAUGAUAGAAGCAUAUUUAUGCAACUUAGUGAGCUUGUUUCUUGGCAUUUACUUAGUUUAAUUCUAGUUAUUUUAGUACUUUAAGCUAUUUCCGUGUGUUUGUAGGUUCAAAUAACAAAGUUGGCAACAAAGUCCUAUUUGGAGCACUUUGGAGCAUUUUUGGGCCAAGAUUGGAUAGUGCAAGCAUGGAGACAUGAGGAUGGAUGUUUUUGAAGAUUAGAAGGCUAGAAAUCAGUAUGUGUGUGUGUGCAAGUGUGUUGACCUACAACUACAAACACUCAUCCACUACACCCAUUACAUCCACUCAUUACCAAACAUCUACCCACUACACCCAUUACAUCUACUCAUUACCAAACACUCAUCCACUACACCUAUUACAUCCACUCAUUACCAAACACUCAUCCACUACACCCAUUACAUCCACUCAUUACCAAACAUCCAUCCACUACACCCAUUACAUCCACUCAUUACCAAACACUCACCCACUACACCCAUUACAUCCACUCAUUACCACAACACUCACCCACUACACCCAUUACAUCCACUCAUUACCACAACAUACACCACUACCACCUUAAUUAGAUGCUGGUCCUCUCCCUAGCCUAUAAAUACAUCCACCCUUCACCAUAACAAAGGAUGGAGAAAAGAGAUCCAUCCAAAGACACUACAUUCACAUCUCACAACUCCAUACACUUACACUUUCAUUCCUUGGCCGUGAGCACCAUCCAUUCCUCCAUACAACCAACCCUUCAAACACUCACCAACACCUUGUGCCGUAGCAGAGGAAGGGAAGGAAAGUGCUUGGACGUGCUUGCUAUCCAACUUGGAUCCUUAGAGUGUUUAGGUGUUUUCUUUCUUUUGUUUUUUAUGUCUAAAUUUGUUUAUCUUUAAUUUGUAAGUAUGAGGAACUAAACCCCCCUUAGCUAGGGGGAAUUCAAAACCAUGUUCAUGCUUGCAAUAUGAUUUGAUUACCUUUAGUUGUGAUUUCAUAAGUUGUGAAUUCAAUUUGUUUUACUGCUUGAUUGAUAACUUAUUCGUGUAUGUUUAUUAAGAGUGCACACUUAGUUUGCAUGCAUGAAUAUGAUGCUAGAGUAUAAGGGAGUUUCACCUAAUAGUUACAAACUUAUAUCCACAAGUAGUGGAGGUCGCUUAUAAAUGAUCGCGUUAAAUGAAUUCUUGGCAGGAGUUUCAUGCUCAUCAUAGUAACGAAUGCCUCGUCAAUACUUAUAGUUUUCAUAAUGCUUAAUGAUCUUUGAUUGUAUCUUUACUGUGCUGUUCACGUAAAGGACUUUUGAAGAAUGCUUGAAUUGUUGUAUGCGCUUUCCCAUCCAAUUCAAUAACUUAAGG
rnacentral:lncRNA from 1 species